rnacentral:rRNA from 1 species
UACGUAGGGGGCAAGCGUUGUCCGGAUUUAUUGGGCGUAAAGAGCUCGUAGGUGGUUCGGUAAGUCGGAUGUGAAAUCUCCAGGCUCAACCUGGAGGGGUCAUUCGAUACUGCCGUGACUAAAGUUCGGUAGGGGAGUGUGGAAUUCCUGGUGGAGCGGUGAAAUGCGCAGAUAUCAGGAGGAACACCCGUAGCGAAGGCGGCACUCUGGGCCGAUACUGACACUGAGGAGCGAAAGCGUGGGGAGCGAACAGG